rnacentral:rRNA from 1 species
CCUACGGGCGGCAGCAGUGGGGAAUAUUGGGCAAUGGGCGCAAGCCUGAUCCAGCAACGCCGCGUGAAGGAAGAAGGCUUUCGGCUCGUAAACUUCUUUUCUCAGGGACGAAGCAAGUGACGGUACCUGAGUAAUAAGCCACGGCUAACUACGUGCCAGCAGCCGCGGUAAUACGUAGGUGGCAAGCGUUAUCCGGAUUUACUGGGUGUAAAGGGUGUGUAGGCGGGAAAGCAAGUCAGAUGUGAAAACCAUGGGCUCAACCUGUGGCCUGCAUUUGAAACUGUUUUUCUUGAGUACUGGAGAGGAAGACGGAAUUCCUGGUGUAGCGGUGAAAUGCGUAGAUAUUAGGAGGAACACCAGUGGCGAAGGCGGUCUGCUGGACAGCAACUGACGCUGAGGCGCGAAAGCGUGGGGAGCAAACAGGAUUAGAUACCCCUGUAGUC